UACGUAGGGUGCAAGCGUUAAUCGGAAUUACUGGGCGUAAAGCGUGCGCAGGCGGUUUUGUAAGUCUGUCGUGAAAUCCCCCGGGCUCAACCUGGGAAUUGCGAUGGAGACUGCAAGGCUAGAAUCUGGCAGAGGGGGUAGAAUUCCACGUGUAGCAGUGAAAUGCGUAGAGAUGUGGAGGAACACCGAUGGCGAAGGCAGCCCCCCUGGGUCAAGAUUGACGCUCAUGCACGAAAGCGUGGGGAGCAA
rnacentral:rRNA from 1 species